rnacentral:lncRNA from 1 species
CAAAACGUCAUUGCCAAUCUUCGGUUCGCUGCUUUUGUUCGUGUUUGAAGUUUCGGGCCGAGACUCUGGCUGCUUGGAUGACGUUCUAAACGUCAAAAUGUGUACACACUUAAAAGAGAUUACCCAUAUUUUCAAUAAAGUUGGUUCGGGGCCAAAAGUUCUGUCGCCGAGCCAGAACCGUGCCCAAAACCAUGAGUGGCACACUCUUGGGGUUGACACAUCGAAUAUUUUCAUUCGAAUCAUUCUGCUCAUUCCAGAAUUAUUCUGGAAUGAUGCUGGAAUACACAUGAUUAUUCCGCUUCCAAUUAAUUUUGUUUUUGCGUGUUAGCGAUCAGCAGCUGUCAUUUUAUUGAAGGAAAAGUAAACAUGUUUUGAAAAUCAAACAAAUUCUCGUCAUUCCAGAAUCAAUCCAGAAUGAUCGGCUGGCAACUUAAAAAUCGAGGUUCCAUCAUUCCGUUGAUUCCAGAAUGAAAUCGGAAUGAUGCUUUAAUGAAGUCGAUUUCGAGUAUCUUUGUUAAUCUUCGUUUACCUUGUACCUCGUGCUGUGAAAAAAAUCUUUGUCAAAACCAAAUGUAAACAUAAAUAUUCAGAACCACUUUUCUACGUUUUCGAAUCUUUGCUGCACCAGAACCGGGCCGAUCGGGGGCCGGAGAAGUCGUUGACAGAAUUCCUGGACCUGGUCAUCUGGAGUAAAGAGCACGGAAGAGAACCCGGCGUCAGUCAGCCCGGCUCGACGGUGGCGACUUCCCUGGUGGAGGGCGAGUCCUUCGACAAGCGCUGUGGCAUUUUGAGCAUUCAUAAAAAUCUGUUCCGGAUGAACCCGAUCAAGCCGCAGACGGUUCGUCCGUUUGUGUUUUAGACGGUGGUGUAGGUCGCGGAUGAGUUGCAGCUGGACGAGGGAGACGUUCAACAGAAGGUGCAAAACUUUGCGGCGGAGAAGUUGACCGGGAACCAGAAGCAGCCAAAGUUUCCGUUGAUUCGGCCGAGGAUUGAAGUUAUCGAGGUGGAGCCACCCUUCGUCUCACCAUCCAGCUGCAGCUUUGUUGACAAGCAAACGGAGCACGCGGUCGCAUGAAAAUAAUAAACAAUUAGGUCUAUCGACGACCUUUUCCAAUGACCGUGAGAAGAUGCCAGAAAAUCCAGCUACGAGCUAAAUCCACAAUACAACACCUCAAAUAACCGUCCACAAAUGCUCAUCUCGCGACGGUGCAGCUCCAGCCGAAUGAACCCUGGACAGCGUGCCGAAAAAUCUGUGUCAUUCUCGAAGGAGGAUGAAGUGCUCGAAAUCGAAUUCCGUUCCGAGGGCCUCAUCAACCCAAUCUUCCGGAUGCGCUUCCAGAAUCGGGAACUCCCCGUUCUGGCACUUCACUUUCCAGCCAGGAAACGUCGAUCACCCUUGCCGAAUCUACAGCCAACUUCUCCAAAGCUGUCCUGAUGAAGGCCGGCAACGUGACCAUCCUGUUCUCUACUUUGCUGUCGCGCGUCGAAACGUCUGUCUAGAACCGUCCAGCUUGGGGUCUUCGGAAGUGACCGGUGGCGUACCCUACACUGAAAUAAAUAUCAUGAUUGCUGCUAUAAGUUUCACAUAUACACAGAAAAAAAUAUGUAAAUUUACACAGCACGUAAUUGCUGUUUAUAAUGUAAACUCACUCAAUGUAAUGUUGAAAUAUGAUGUAAUGAGCAAAAAGUCAUGGAAAUUACU